UACGUAGGGGGCGAACAUUGCUCGGAAUUACUGGGCGUAAAGGGUGCGCAGGCGGCUGAGCAAGUCGUUGAUGAAAUCCCGAGGCUUAACCUCGGAACUGUCUUCGAAACUGCUCAGCUUGAGGGUAGUUGAGGAAAACGGAAUUCCCGGUGGAGCGGUGAAAUGCGUAGAUAUCGGGAGGAACACCAGAGGCGAAGGCGGUUUUCUGGACUAUUCCUGACGCUGAGGCACGAAAGCUAGGGGAGCAAACGGGAUUAGAUACCCUUGUA
rnacentral:rRNA from 1 species